CAAUCACCAGAUGUAUUUCCACCAAGACAGUCUCAGGACAAAACUGGGAACAGUGGAGCUUUUGUUAAAUCAAACGGGAUAACCAAAUCAGUUCUCGUUCUACUAUUUGGCACGGUGGAUCGGCUGGGGGUGUUGGCGUCUGCCUUUGCCCUUGUCAGCGGAGAAGAUGUAGCAAGAUGAGGUGAUUGAGGAUGUGCCGAACAGAGCCACCAUGUUUUUGGUGACAUAAACAUACAGGAAGGAGUGCAAUUGCAUGUUCUGGCUACCGUGGCCUCCCCCGCAUAAUGUGCGGUUUUAACCCUGGAUGGCAUUCGUCUUCGACUACCUCGUCUACUGCCUCUUUGACUCCUGCUGCCGCGACCCAACAGGGGCAGCUGUGGCCUUCUUCUCCGCCUCCAUGUUUUCGGAGGAGUAGAUGAUGGCACCUGCAGCUGGAUGCAUCCCGCAGCCCGAUGAGGUCAUUGGGUCCGACACCAUGCUCAGCUGGACCAUGACAUCCAGUCUGGACCAGAAGGAAGGAGUGCAAUUGCAUGUUCUGGCUACAGUGGUGCUUGCCGUCGCCUCCUGCGCAUAAUGCACGGUUUUAAUCCCGGACGGCAUUUAUCUUCGACGUCUACUUCCUCUUUGACUCCUGCCGCUGCGACCCAACAGGGGCAGCGGUGGCCUUCUUCUCCACCUCUACGUUUUCGGAGGACUGGAUGAUGGCAUCUGCAGCUGGAUUCAUCUCGCAGCUCGAUGAGGUCAUUGGGUCCCGACACCGAGCUCAGCUGGACCAUGACAUCAGGCCCGACCGGAAGGAUAUUCUGGAGGACUAGAUGGCUGAUACCGGCUAUGCAUCAGUGCAUGCGGAAAGGCAUCUCUGCUCCUGUGGUGCUGCUGUAGUGCUGGCCACAUGUGGCCCAUGUGUGAUUUAUUGUUGAAUUUGCUUGUAAUGUUGAGUGAUAGUGGACCUUGUAUUGUCCAUUCUUUUUGUACUGUGGUUAGACUAUUGUUGAUAAUUUGAUCUGUGUUG